UUCGGGUAGGGGUAAGGCUCGUCUACAUAUUACCCUCCCCAGACCCCACCUGGUGGGCAUAUACUGGGUAGUUGUUGUUGUUGUUGUUGAUCGAUGGACUGGUUCAUGCAGGUUCUGCAAGGUGUAUUGAGGCGUUCACGCUGGCAUUUGCAUAACCCUGUGUGUGAUGGCUACUGAACUAACACCCAGUUGAAUUGCAGCAAGGUUGUUCUUUGCUGAAUUAAUCGCCCGGGUUUCCUGUGCUUGGA
rnacentral:lncRNA from 1 species